GGGUUGUGAGGUUAAGCGACUAAGCGUACACGGUGGAUGCCCUGGCAGUCAGAGGCGAUGAAGGACGUGCUAAUCUGCGAUAAGCGUCGGUGAGGUGAUAUGAACCGUUAUAACCGGCGAUUUCCGAAUGGGGAAACCCAGUGUGUUUCGACACACUAUCAUUAACUGAAUCCAUAGGUUAAUGAGGCGAACCGGGGGAACUGAAACAUCUAAGUACACCGA
rnacentral:rRNA from 1 species